rnacentral:rRNA from 1 species
GCUAAGAAUAUUCCGCAAUGGACGAAAGUCUGACGGAGCGACGCCGCGUGGAUGAAGAAGGCCGAAAGGUUGUAAAGUUCUUUUGUUGGGGAAGAAUAACCAUGGGAGGGAAUGCCCGUGGGAUGACAUGAACCGACGAAUAAGCCCCGGCUAACUACGUGCCAGCAGCCGCGGUAACACGUAGGGGGCGAGCGUUGUUCGGAAUUACUGGGCGUAAAGGGCAUGUAGGCGGUCUUGUAAGCUUGGCGUGAAAGACCACGGCUCAACCGUGGGAUUGCGUUGAGAGCUGCGAGGCUUGAGUGACGGAGAGGGAGCUAGAAUUCCUGGUGUAGGGGUGGAAUCUGUAGAGAUCAGGAAGAAUACCAAUGGCGAAGGCAAGCUCCUGGCCGAUGACUGACGCUGAGGUGCGAAAGUGUGGGGAUCAAACAGGAUUAGAAACCCGAGUAGUCC